UCUCCGUUGGUGAACCAGCGGAGGGAUCAUUACAGACUUGCUAAACUCCCAAACUUUUGUUAACGUUACCUCUCCCGUUGCUUCGGCGGGCGGCCCUGGUCUCGUGCCCGGCGGCCACGAGCCGCCCGUGGGCGCCCGCCGGAGGUAAACCAAACCCGUGAAUUUAUUCGCCUCUCUGAGUCCUCUGUACUGAAUAAGUCAAAACUUUCAACAACGGAACUCUUGGUUCUG
rnacentral:misc_RNA from 1 species